UACUACUAGUGGCGCACGGGUGCGUAACGCGUAACCAAUCUGCCCUGAACUGGGGGAUAGCCCGCCGAAAGGCGGAUUAAUACCGCAUAAUACUACUUACCGGCAUCGGUUGAGUAGUUAAAGAUUUAUUGGUUCAGGAUGAGGUUGCGUGCCAUUAGCUAGUUGGCGGGGUAACGGCCCACCAAGGCGACGAUGGCUAGGGGACCUGAGAGGGUGAUCCCCCACACUGGCACUGAGAUACGGGCCAGACUCCUACGGGAGGCAGCAGUAGGGAAUAUUGGGCAAUGGACGAGAGUCUGACCCAGCCAUGCCGCGUGCCGGAUGAAGGCCUUCUGGGUUGUAAACGGCUUUUCUCAGGGAAGAAAAAGACCAUGCGUGGUACACUGACGGUACCUGAGGAAUAAGCACCGGCUAACUCCGUGCCAGCAGCCGCGGUAAUACGGAGGGUGCAAGCGUUGUCCGGAUUUAUUGGGUUUAAAGGGUGCGUAGGCGGCUUGUUAAGUCCGGGGUGAAAGCCCACAGCUCAACUGUGGAACUGCCCUGGAUACUGGCAAGCUUGAGUCCAGACGAGGUUGGCGGAAUGGAAGGUGUAGCGGUGAAAUGCAUAGAUACCUUCCAGAACCCCGAUUGCGUAGGCAGCUGACUAGGCUGGUACUGACGCUGAGGCACGAAAGCGUGGGGAGCGAACAGGAUUAGAUACCCUGGUAGUCCACGCCGUAAACGAUG
rnacentral:rRNA from 1 species